UACGGGGGGGGUAAGCGUUGUUCGGAAUUACUGGGCGUAAAGGGCUCGUAGGCGGCCAACUAAGUCAUACGUGAAAUCCCUCAGCUUAACUGGGGAACUGCGUCUGAUACUGGAUGGCUUGGAUUCGGGAGAGGAAUGCGGAAUUCCAGGUGUAGCGGUGAAAUGCGUAGAUAUCUGGAGGAACACCGGUGGCGAAGGCGGCAUCCUGGACCAACACUGACGCUGAGUGAGCGAAAGCCAGGGGAGCAAACGGG
rnacentral:rRNA from 1 species